ensembl:lncRNA
CGCUCUCGCGGGGCCCCUGCCCGCUCGGGAGCGCUGGCCGUCCCCGCCCCCGCAGCCGCGGGGCAGCGCCCGAGGCGACGGUUGGGCCCGACGCCUGCGCACGCCGCUCGCGGGCCUUCCGCGCGGGGCGCGGCUGCGGGGCGCCCGUCAGCCCCCGCCGCGUGGGCGCGAGGAGGGCUUGGCCGAGGCCCGCCGUGUGAUCAGGCGUGUAGAUUAGAGAGCGCUCACGUCUUGGCUGGGCGAGAACAGUCUCUUGAAAGGAAAUCUGAAACUCUUCUGGGAGACCGAAUGGAGACUUACCCAGAUGGAGAAUGGAAGACACCAAGGCAGAGACUGUGGAGUAUGGGCAAGGAGAGUGUGGCUUACACUGUGAGCCAGGACCCAGGACCCUGACGCUCAGACCAUGCAAGAUACGGUGUACAGGGACCACGUUCCACUCAGAAGCCAGGUCCAGCCAAGCUGUACCGACAGUGCUAACUCGGCAGGAAUCACUGUAAAAACGAGAAUCAAUUACAAUGCCUUCCCCAUCAAAUUGUUUUAUUAGGUUAAUUAAACAGCUUAAAGACAAUUCAUUUGUUCGGUACCCUUCUAGAAAAUAUUUCAAGUUUUAAAUGAACUUCCAAUACGUAAAACAAAAUUACUUUACCAUAGACAAAUUUCAGAUCAAA